rnacentral:rRNA from 1 species
AAUAGAUACCCGGGUAGUCCACGCCGUAAACGAUGAGUGCUAAGUGUUAGAGGGUUUCCGCCCUUUAGUGCUGCAGCUAACGCAUUAAGCACUCCGCCUGGGGAGUACGGCCGCAAGGCUGAAACUCAAGGGAAUUGACGGGGGCCCGCACAAGCGGUGGAGCAUGUGGUUUAAUUCGAAGCAACGCGAAGAACCUUACCAGGUCUUGACAUCCUCUGCCAACCCUAGAGAUAGGGCGUUCCCCUUCGGGGGACAGAGUGACAGGUGGUGCAUGGUUGUCGUCAGCUCGUGUCGUGAGAUGUUGGGUUAAGUCCCGCAACGAGCGCAACCCUUGAUCUUAGUUGCCAGCAUUCAGUUGGGCACUCUAAGGUGACUGCCGGUGACAAACCGGAGGAAGGUGGGGAUGACGUCAAAUCAUCAUGCCCCUUAUGACCUGGGCUACACACGUGCUACAAUGGAUGGUACAAAGAGUAGCGAACCCGCGAGGGUAAGCCAAUCUCAUAAAGCCAUUCUCAGUUCGGA